AACACAUGCAAGUCGAGGGGCAUCGGGAUUGAAGCUUGCUUCAAUUGCCGGCGACCGGCGCACGGGUGCGUAACGCGUAUGUAACCUACCUAUAACAGGGGCAUAACACUGAGAAAUUGGUACUAAUUCCCCAUAAUAUUCGGAGAGGCAUCUCUCCGGGUUGAAAACUCCGGUGGUUAUAGAUGGACAUGCGUUGUAUUAGCUAGUUGGUGAGGUAACGGCUCACCAAGGCAACGAUACAUAGGGGGACUGAGAGGUUAACCCCCCACACUGGUACUGAGACACGGACCAGACUCCUACGGGAGGCAGCAGUGAGGAAUAUUGGUCAAUGGACGCAAGUCUGAACCAGCCAUGCCGCGUGCAGGAAGACGGCUCUAUGAGUUGUAAACUGCUUUUGUACGAGGGUAAACUCACCUACGUGUAGGUGACUGAAAGUAUCGUACGAAUAAGGAUCGGCUAACUCCGUGCCAGCAGCCGCGGUAAUACGGAGGAUUCAAGCGUUAUCCGGAUUUAUUGGGUUUAAAGGGUGCGUAGGCGGUUUGAUAAGUUAGAGGUGAAAUCCCGGGGCUUAACUCCGGAACUGCCUCUAAUACUGUUAGACUAGAGAGUAGUUGCGGUAGGCGGAAUGUAUGGUGUAGCGGUGAAAUGCUUAGAGAUCAUACAGAACACCGAUUGCGAAGGCAGCUUACC
rnacentral:rRNA from 1 species